GGAGGACAGGUGCUGCAUGGCCGUCGUCAGCUCGUGUCGUGAGAUGUUGGGUUAAGUCCCGCAACGAGCGCAACCCUUGCCUUUAGUUGCCAGCAGUUCGGCUGGGCACUCUAAAGGGACUGCCGGUGUUAAACCGGAGGAAGGUGGGGAUGACGUCAAGUCCUCAUGGCCUUUAUGACCAGGGCUACACACGUACUACAAUGGCCGAUACAAAGGGCAGCGACACUGCGAGGUGAAGCCAAUCCCGUAAAAUCGGUCUCAGUCCGGAUUGGAGUCUGCAACUCGACUCCAUGAAGUUGGAAUCGCUAGUAAUCGUGGAUCAGCAUGCCACGGUGAAUACGUUCCCGGGCCUU
rnacentral:rRNA from 1 species